GACGAACGCUGGCGGCGUGCCUAACACAUGCAAGUCGAGCGAGUGGAUCUCCUUCGGGAGUGAAGCUAGCGGCGGACGGGUGAGUAACACGUGGGCAACCUGCCUCAUAGAGGGGAAUAGCCUUUCGAAAGGAAGAUUAAUACCGCAUAAGAUUGUAGCUUCGCAUGAAGUAGCAAUUAAAGGAGCAAUCCGCUAUGAUAUGGGCCCGCGGCGCAUUAGCUAGUUGGUGAGGUAACGGCUCACCAAGGCGACGAUGCGUAGCCGACCUGAGAGGGUGAUCGGCCACAUUGGGACUGAGACACGGCCCAGACUCCUACGGGAGGCAGCAGUGGGGAAUAUUGCACAAUGGGGGAAACCCUGAUGCAGCAACGCCGCGUGAGUGAUGACGGCCUUCGGGUUGUAAAGCUCUGUCUUCAGGGACGAUAAUGACGGUACCUGAGGAGGAAGCCACGGCUAACUACGUGCCAGCAGCCGCAGUAACAC
rnacentral:rRNA from 1 species